AAGAGUUUGAUCCUGGCUCAGGAUGAACGCUGGCGGCGUGCCUAACACAUGCAAGUCGAGCGUGAUCUUCUGGAAUGAAACUUCGGUCGAAUGAAAGAAGUGAAAGCGGCGGACGGGUGAGUAACGCGUAGGCAACCUGCCUCACACAGAGGGAUACCUCCGGGAAACUGGGACUAAUACCUCAUAACGCGAGAGUUUCACAUGUUACUUUCGCCAAAGAUUUAUCGGUGUGAGAUGGGCCUGCGUCUGAUUAGCUGGUUGGUGAGGUAACGGCUCACCAAGGCGACGAUCAGUAGCCGACCUGAGAGGGUGAUCGGCCACAUUGGAACUGAGACACGG
rnacentral:rRNA from 1 species